GACGAACCGUGCGAACGUUAUUCGGAAUCACUGGGCUUAAAGCGCGUGUAGGCGGGGCGGAACGUCGGUCGCUGAAAUCCCCCGGCUCAACCGGGGAAGGGGCGCCGAUACGACCGGCCUGGAGGGACGUAGGGGGAGCUGGAACUUCCGGUGGAGCGGUGAAAUGCGUUGAGAUCGGAAGGAACGCCCGUGGCGAAAGCGAGCUCCUGGACGUCUUCUGACGCUGAGACGCGAAAGCCAGGGGAGCGAACGGG
rnacentral:rRNA from 1 species